rnacentral:rRNA from 1 species
AGAGUUUGAUCCUGGCUCAGAAUCAACGCUGGCGGCGUGCCUAACACAUGCAAGUCGAACGCGGUUAUCCAGCAAUGGAUAACUGAGUGGCAAACGGGUGAGUAACACGUGGGUGACCUACCUUCGAGUGGGGGAUAACGUCCCGAAAGGGACGCUAAUACCGCAUAACAUCCCGCCUUUGAACAGGCGGAUAUCAAAGCCGGGGAUCGUAAGACCUGGCGCUUGAUGAGGGGCCCGCGUCUGAUUAGCUAGUUGGUGAGGUAACGGCCCACCAAGGCGACGAUCAGUAUCCGGCCUGAGAGGGCGGACGGACACACUGGGACUGAGACACGGCCCAGACUCCUACGGGAGGCAGCAGUGGGGAAUUGUUCACAAUGGGCGCAAGCCUGAUGACGCAACGCCGCGUGGAGGAUGAAGGUCUUCGGAUUGUAAACUCCUGUUGCUCGGGACGAAAAGCCUCGACCUAAUACGUCGAGGUCUGACGGUACCGAGUGAGGAAGCCCCGGCUAACUCUGUGCCAGCAGCCGCGGUAAUACAGAGGGGGCAAGCGUUGUUCGGAAUUACUGGGCGUAAAGGGCGCGUAGGCGGCCCGCUAAGUCGAACGUGAAAUCCCCGAGCUCAACUCGGGAACUGCGUCCGAUACUGGUGGGCUUGAAUCCGGGAGAGGGAUGCGGAAUUCCAGGUGUAGCGGUGAAAUGCGUAGAUAUCUGGAGGAACACCGGUGGCGAAGGCGGCAUCCUGGACCGGCAUUGACGCUGAGGCGCGAAAGCUAGGGGAGCAAACGGGAUUAGAUACCCCGGUAGUCCUAGCCUUAAACGAUGAAUGCUUGGUGUGGCGGGUAUCGAUCCCUGCCGUGCCGAAGCUAACGCAUUAAGCAUUCCGCCUGGGGAGUACGGUCGCAAGGCUGAAACUCAAAUGAAUUGACGG